UUGAAAGGGAAACGAUUGAAGUCAGUCGUACCUGCGGACAAUCAGCCUUUCGGGUGCGAUUAUGUGGAGCGUGGGGAGCUAAACACCUUCAUGCCUGCGUAUUUGUAUUCUAGGGUGUACUUGGACGUGCGGUAGGUUAACAUCAAUUUCGGACGUCAUAAAAUGGCUGGAGGAAUGUAGCUUCGGUCUCGUACUGAAGUGUUAUAGCCUUCGGCAGAUAUGGUGACCGGGAUUGAGGAUUGCAACGGAUACCUUUUGGGCUACCCGCCUGAUCUCUGAAAGUUGCUCUGGUGCCGAAAGCUUGCUUACGGUUAUCAAAGUUGACGUUCAAAAGGUUAGAACGGGUUAAAUUCGUUAAGGAUGUUGACGUA
rnacentral:rRNA from 1 species